rnacentral:rRNA from 1 species
GACGUAGGGCGCGAGCGUUGUCCGGAAUUAUUGGGCGUAAAGAGCUCGUAGGCGGUUUGUUGCGUCGGCUGUGAAAUCCCGAGGCUCAACCUCGGGUCUGCAGUCGAUACGAGCAAACUAGAGUGUUGCAGGGGAGACUGGAAUUCCUGGUGUAGCGGUGAAAUGCGCAGAUAUCAGGAGGAACACCGGUGGCGAAGGCGGGUCUCUGGGCAACAACUGACGCUGAGGAGCGAAAGCGUGGGGAGCAGACAGG